rnacentral:rRNA from 1 species
AUUGAACGCUGGCGGAAUGCUUUACACAUGCAAGUCGAACGGCAGCACGGACUUCGGUCUGGUGGCGAGUGGCGAACGGGUGAGUAAUGCAUCGGAACGUGCCCAGUCGUGGGGGAUAACGUAGUGAAAAUUACGCUAAUACCGCAUACGAUCUAUGGAUGAAAGCGGGGGAUCGCAAGACCUCGCGCGAUUGGAGCGGCCGAUAUCGGAUUAGGUAGUUGGUGGGGUAAAGGCCCACCAAGCCAACGAUCUGUAGCUGGUCUGAGAGGACGACCAGCCACACUGGAACUGAGACACGGUCCAGACUCCUACGGGAGGCAGCAGUGGGGAAUUUUGGACAAUGGGCGAAAGCCUGAUCCAGCCAUUCCGCGUGCAGGAUGAAGGCCCUCGGGUUGUAAAUUGCUUUUGUACAGAACGAAAAGGUUUCUACUAAUACUAGGAGCUCAUGACGGUACUGCAAGAAUAAGCACCGGCUAACUACGUGCCAGCCGCCGCGGUAA